rnacentral:lncRNA from 1 species
AUUCAAGGAUACAUCACACUUGAAUGAAAAAUACAUUUACUCUUUUAUUGAUCAAAUCAAUGUAUUAAGUACCAAAUUAUGUCCUAGAGUUAUUACAAUGUGUCAGCUAUAUUGAUUUUUAGGACAUACAUCUAACACUGUAGGAGAUGGAUCAUUUAUUCUUAGAUUGGUGGCCGAUUCGAUAAACAGUGUCAAGCACCUGCUCAUAAUUAACCAAUGAACAAGUCAAAAGACCCUAGAGAACCACUCGCACAGACGUAUAUCUAUAGGGUAGAAGAAGAGGCCUUUUCAAAUGUGG